UACAGAGGGGGCAAGCGUUAUUCGGAAUUAUUGGGCGUAAAGAGCGCGCAGGCGGUCGUUCAAGUCGCGUGUGAAAGCCCCCGGCUCAACUGGGGAGGGUCACGCGAUACUGAUCGACUCGAAGGCAGGAGAGGGAAGUGGAAUUCCCGGUGUAGUGGUGAAAUGCGUAGAUAUCGGGAGGAACACCAGUGGCGAAGGCGACUUCCUGGCCUGUUCUUGACGCUGAGGCGCGAAAGCUAGGGGAGCAAACGGGG
rnacentral:rRNA from 1 species